rnacentral:rRNA from 1 species
UUAAAUUGAAGAGUUUGAUCAUGGCUCAGAUUGAACGCUGGCGGCAGGCCUAACACAUGCAAGUCGAACGGUAACAGAAAGCAGCUUGCUGCUUUGCUGACGAGUGGCGGACGGGUGAGUAAUGUCUGGGAAACUGCCUGAUGGAGGGGGAUAACUACUGGAAACGGUAGCUAAUACCGCAUAACGUCGCAAGACCAAAGAGGGGGACCUUCGGGCCUCUU